AAGUUAUCAAGAGUGAAUGAGAGAACUGGCUCUAUGACUUCACAGCAACCUGCCAACAGCAAGGUGCUCCAACCAGCAAAGCAAUUGCUUUGGAUGAUAAGAC
rnacentral:ncRNA from 2 species